rnacentral:sRNA from 1 species
AAGUUAGAGAUUAUAUAUGAAGAGUCACCUUUGAAAGCAGAUACGUUAUCAUCACUGUAAAGGAGUAGCCCCAAACGGGUAUCAAUACUAGUCUUCACAAAGUAAUUAAGUGUUUUUGA